GCAAAUGCUCAUGCAAAGUAUCUUGGGAUUUGUCCCAGGAGGCUCUGCAAGCUGGCAUGGUUCUUACGUAAGACGGACUGGGAAGAAGAGGCACCGCACACACAAUAAAUGAGAUUUGAAUCCCCUAAGCUUGGCCCCAUGUAAGCCACCCCGAGUCCCUUUGGGGAGACGGAGACAAGGUUGACUUCUGCAAAGGUGGCAGUAGUUUGGAAACGUCUGAUUUAGUUAGCACUACUGAGCAAAGAGGAUGUUUAUCCGGAAUAGAGACUUGAUCCUUUGUUGAAUCUGGCAUGGGCAGCUGACAUUGAUGUUCCAGUUGACAUUUCUGUAAAUGAAGAGGGAACCCCAAAGGAAAACAAUGCAUCUGAAACCAACCCCAUAGAAGAUUCAGGGUCAAGUUCACCAUCUUCUGCUGAAGAAUCAUCUCCUCAUGAAGAUCCAGAAUCUUCUACAGAAGAGGAACCUGCUGAUGGUGAUCCAGAAUCUUCUACAGAAGAGGAACCUGCUGAUGGUGCUGCACCCUCUUGUACAGAAGUGCAACCUUCUGAUGAUGAUCAAGACCCUUCUGCUGAUGAAGCACCUUCUGAUGAUGAUUGGGAGCAAGCAGGAAGUGACAAUGAGAGUAAUUAUAUUGUAAAUAAAAUUUGGGAUCUGAUACUGUCAAUGCUAUUUAAGAGGCCAUUUCUGAUAUAGUCCUUAUUCCUGAAGAGCGAAUAUCCACCUUCUUCUCUAGAAGCAUUGGAAAUUGAAGUUUGGUCAUGACAUUAAUGAAUUGAAAUAAAUAAAACAACCUACCCUUUCUCAGCAA
rnacentral:lncRNA from 11 species